AUACUUACUAGGCCAGGGAGAAACCAUGAUCAUGAAGGUGGUUUUCCAAAGGCGAGGCUUAAUGGAUUCCAUUCUGGAUGUGCUGACCCUGUGAUUUCCCCAAAUGUGGGAAACUCUACUGUGUAAUUUCUGGGAGUGGGGGACUGCAUUUGAACUAACCCCUU
rnacentral:snRNA from 1 species